GUGAGGAAUUUUGCGCAAUGGGGGCAACCCUGACGCAGCGACGCCGCGUGGAGGACGAAGUCUUUCGGGAUGUAAACUCCUGUCAGUGGGGACGAUAAUGACGGUACCCACAGAGGAAGCACCGGCUAACUCCGUGCCAGCAGCCGCGGUAAGACGGAGGGUGCAAGCGUUGUUCGGAAUUACUGGGCGUAAAGCGUAUGUAGGCGGCAAGUUAAGUUCAAUGUUAAAGCCCACGGCUCAACCGAGGAGAUGCAUUGAAUACUGGCUAGCUAGAGGGUGUUAGAGGAAGACGGAAUUCCCAGUGUAGCGGUGAAAUGCAUAGAUAUUGGGAGGAACAUCGGUAGCGAAAGCGGUCUUCUGGGACAUACCUGACGCUGAGGUACGAAAGCGUGGGGAGCAAACGGGAUUAGAAACCCUGGUAGUCC
rnacentral:rRNA from 1 species